GUCACAUUGCUGCCCGCGGUGACAAAGCGGGCAGGCGUGGCGUCGCGGUCCGAGGAGACCGUGAUGAUCGGCGGGUCCGGGCCGUCUGGAAGGAGGAGGGGUCGGGACUGCGAGUGUCAGGGUCACCUGGGACUCCGCUAGGACUCCUGGAGACUGGUUCCCCAGCCCCCUUCUCCCCAAGGACCCCCUGUCCCCGUCCCGAGGUACCCCCACACUCACAGAAGACGGUGACGUCGGCGGCAGCCUCCCUGCGGCCGAAGGGGCUGCGGACGCGGCAAGUGUACCGGGCGUGGUCGCUGCGCACAGGGCGCACGAUGAGCAGCUGGUCGCCCUCUGAGCGGAUCCGGGGCGGCUGGGCUCCCUCGGAUUCCGACGCCUCCAGGGCACGUCCGUCCCUGCUCCAGCUCAGCUCCCCGCGACCGGGUCCCCACCCCAGGCAGCGCAGCCGGAGCUCGGCCGCCCCCUCCUCUGUCUCUGGAGCCUUGGGCUGAACCGACAGCUGGGGUAGGGGCUCUGGGAGAGGGAGAACGGGCUCAGGACACAGUCCUGGAGCCCAUCUUUGGUCCCCUUAGAGGGAGCCCCAGCCGCUGCUCCCUCUAAGCCCCUGGAGUCCCGGCCCGCACCCCUCUCCUCUCAUAAACCCAUGAGUUUGAGCCCCCAGACCCCUCCUCUCCGGGACCCAGGAGUUCGACAGAAGAGGCUCCCAGCCUCCUCCUCCUCCCUCAGACCUGGGAGUCCAGGCCCCCAGGAGUCUCCAUCCCAAGUCCAACGUUGCUCAAACACCCCUGCCUUGACCUCUAGCUCUUUUCCUCCCUUCCUCAACCCAGAAGCCCUCUUCUGCCAUCCAGGGACCCCACAGCACCGUGACUUGCCCAAAGUCUGGCAGAGCAGACCAGCCCCUGCCGCCUGCACUCCAGCCGCCAGGGCCCACUUACCAUACACACCCACCGUGAACUCGCGAGUCUGCCGGGAGACCCCUGCCCGGAUGACUUCAGCCGUGUAGACCCCUGCAUCGUCCAGCUGGGCAGAGGCGAGCUCCAGAACCCCCCGGGCCUGGUCAAAUCGCAGGCGGUCUCGGUGAGCAGGGUCCAGGCUGAUCAGAGGUGCCCCUGGCCCCAGGCCUCCAGUUGCCAGCACCUUAGAGCCCCGGCGCCAGACCACCAGAGGGGUGGGGGGCCCAGGGCUGGGGACUGGGACCAGGGGGAGCCGGAUGGUAGUUCCCACCAGCACAGCCAGUGGGCCCCCCAGCUGCUGGGGGAAGCUUGCCGCUGAGUGGGUCUCUGCAGAAAAGUUGGAUUCAGGGCUCUGGGCAGAAAGUUGAAGAUCCAUGUCAUCAGGGGAGAAUUUCGAAUCUGGGGCCUCAACAGAGAGUUUGGUGUUGGAGACUUGAGUAGAAAUGUUUGAAGCUGGGGUCUUAACAGAGAAGGAAGGCUUGGGGUCUUUGGCAGGAACUUGUGGUUCCAAAAUAUCAGGAAAUACUUCAGAACCAGGGGUUUCAGAGGAGGAAACCGGGCUCAAAUCUUGGCCCUCAGCAGAAACAUUUGACCAGAAGGACCCAGACAUGUUGUUGGAACUCAGGGCCUCAGGAAACCAGCUGGAAUCAGAGAUUCCUGCAGAGCCUUUUGAAUCCAGGGACUGAUCUGGAAAUUUCCAGCUGGGAGGUUUGAUGGAGGGAACUUCUGCACCCAGCCCCUGGGAAGAGCUCUUUGAGUCCGAAGAGAAGGCAGAGGAGAAGUUGGUUUGCUGAAGUCCAGAAGAGGCUCUGAGGGACACUCCCUCAUGGAACCCAGCCGCCACACUGGGAGGAAACUCAGCAGUCCCAUGGAGGGGAAUCAUGGCCCCUGGUCAGCAGCCCCAGCCAGCUUGCUGGCCAUGUGGGUAAGCCCUCUUGGAAGUCAACCCCCUGGCCCCAUUUGAGGCACCUGAACUGAUCCUGCACCGAGGAGAGACAAGCUGUCCCUGCUGAGCCCUGCCCAGAUUCCAGACUUAAGAGCAUAAUAAACAAGUGUUGUUUUAAGCCACCAA